GGCCUCACAAGGGUGUCGUACUUGAGAAUAUAUUUCAUGUGAGCCACAUGACACACCCAUCUUGAAGAAACGAGGGCUGCAGAGUAUGUGUUGGACCUGUGCCCACGCCGCCCUCAGCCCGCUCCGGCUGGCCAUCUGAGCUCUGGCGUACAGUCUCAGCCACUCAAGUGGUAAGAAGAUGCUCCCUGGCAAGCCAAGAACCACACAGACACAGAGGCCCUCAGCAAGAUCCUACAUCUACCACCCUUCAGCACCCCCUUGGGAAAUCUGAUGGGACUCUCAAAACAACCUGAUGCUCAGCUUCCACCUUCAUCCCCAAGCAACUCCGUCAUGCCCCCUCUGUAAUGGAAAGAAUGUCUCCUAGAAGGACAUGUCCUCAGCCACAGCACCUGUGACUGUGACCUGGUUUGGAAGUAGAGUCUUUGCCUAUGUAUCAAGGUCAGGUUACGGGGUGGGCUCUAACCCAAUGACUGGCAUCUUCUGGAACACAGAUAUACAAUGGGAAGAUGGCCACGUUGAGGGUGGAGACAGAGACUGGAGUGAUAUGUGUGGCAUCAGGUUGGAGGAUUGCCAAGGGUGACCCAGGAGCACCAAGGACUGGCAGCCACAGGAGCUGGAAGAGGCAGGAAGGAUCCUCCUAAACAGGUUUCAGAGGGAGGCAGCUCUGCCAACCCUGACGUCAGACUUCUGGCCUCCAGAACUCUGAGGCAAGGAGCAUCUACUACUUUAAGAUGCUCAGUCUAAGGUCUAUCAUAGCAGCCACAGACCAUGAGUGCAUCCUGUCAGUCACAGGCACCCUCGUGCUUCCCAAGAGAGGGGCAGGCCCUACACGCGGGUCAGAUCCACCUGGAAAUCCUGGGGCUCCCCUUUCACAGUGUGUCCAGAACCAGUUCUGUGACCAGCUCCCCACCUGUCUCUCUCCAGGACCCCGUUACUCUUUACUCUGCUUCAUCCUGGCACCUCUGUUCUAUGCAACAGCCCAGCAAAUUCUGUCACUUCUGUGCUGAGACACUACCUGACUCACCGUCUCCCUCAGAAUCAAAGCCAAAGCCCUCAACUUAACAAUAAAAAACAAAGUGACUAAAAACUGAACCAAGGACUUGAACAGACACUUCUCCAAAGAAGAUAUAUAGAUGGCCGAUGAGCACCUGUAAGACCCUAAGCAGCAUCAGCCACCAAGGACUGAGACGCCAGGGUACCUCACCAGGUAGCGAGCAUCAGCCAGGACCUGGGGAUGCUGCAGGCUUCACACUGUGGGGGACUGUGUGGUGCUGCUGCUGUGUAGAGGAGCAGAUGCUCCCUGGAGCACUAAGCAGCAGCUUCGCAUCCAACACAACUCUUUUGCCCCAGGUACUCACCCAGGAGAAAGGAAGACAGGUCUCAUCUGAAAUGUAUAUGUAAAGGUCCAUGGCUGUGUCACUCAAAGUAGCCAAAAUGUAAAAAUAAAAUAAAGUGUGGUGUGCAUAUAAA